GAAAAAUAUGAAGAAGUCCAUAACAAACAUAAGCAGUAUAAGCCGUAUAAGCGGGUUCAAAAAUAAUUUCUAUACUAAAUUUACCUUGCUUUAGCUAUUAUUUAUACAUAUACACAGUAUUAUUUUUUUGACGAAGCGGAUUCAGUUGAACCCACUUCUCACCACUUGGGUCCGCCCUUGCUAAUUUUGAGAAGAAGAACUCCUGCUCCUAUUUUCAUGAAGAUGAAGAAAGCAAAUCGAAGAAGAAGAAGAAUGGCUGAAAAGAGGAAGAAGAGAUAUUCAGACAAGACGAGGCGAUAUAAUCUAAGUCUUAGAUUAUGUUUGUGACUUGUUCAACUGGACACGUGGAGCAGAUUAGACCAUUGAAUAAUCCAAGCAUAGUCUAUUAUGGGUCAAUUAAUACCCCUCAGAUCUGUUUAAACAUUCUAGAGUUUUCCCUCACGUGAGUAGCAUGUGAGAGAAUCAAAGUUGUUGCUGAUUGAAUAAUAUUGUUAUAGAUAGGCUAAUUAGAUAGUGACAAGUGUAUAGUUUUUCUCUUUCCUAUUAUUUUUUAAUUCUUUAGCAAUUGUAUAUAUACAUGUACAGAUUUGAUGAUGAAAUACAUAGAAAUUUUACAAUCUUCUCCUUCCAUUUCUUACAUGGUAUCAGAGAAAUUGCUCGAUCCAGUAUUACAUCCAAUGAACUUAUCUAUUACAUAAGCUCCUUCACUAGAAGAAAAUGGGUGAACCAACCACUAUUGUUGUAGAGACUAGGAAUACUAUCAAACCUGUGACCUAUGAUGCUAAUCACCCCAAUCAUCUCAACAAUUCUGAUUCACCGGGUAUGACUCUAGUCACUACAGUCUUUGAUGGAAGAGGAUACCCAGGAUAGAGAAGAUCCAUUCUACUGUCACUAUCAGCCAAAAAGAAGCUUGGCUUCAUCAAUGGAGUCUGCAAGUCUCUAGAUCUCACAUCUCCUGAAUUUGAGCAAUGGAGUUGUGUGAAUGAUAUGGUCAUCUCCUGGAUUCUUAAUGCUCUUUGAAAGGACAUUUCUGACAGUGUAACUUACUCCAAGACUGCAAAGGAGCUCUGGGAAAUCUUAUAACAGAGAUUUGGGAGAUCAAAUGGAGCUAAGCUCUAUCAUUUGGAAAAGGAAUUAUCAGGUUUAGUCUAAGGAAAUAGUGACAUUGCAGGAUAUUUCACUAAGCUAAAACGUUUGUGGGAUGAAUUCGAUGCUUUAAAUGUUAUCAUAUACUGCACUUAUGUGUGUAUUUGUGAAGGAAAUGGAAAAUUAGCUAAACCACUGGAGGAUAAGAGGUUGAUCUGAAUACUAAUAGGACUAAAUGACAUAUAUGCACAUGCAAGAGGAAACAUUCUCAUGAUGAAUCCCUUGCGUAGCAUAGAUGUUGCUUAUUCACUCCUCUUACAAGAUGAGAAUCAAAGAGAAAUGUAUGCAAAUACAAGUUUCAACGCAGAAUCACUUUCAUUCAUGGCAGAAUCCAAACAACCUAAUGCCCAAUUGUUAGCAUAUUUUGCAGCUUUCAUGGUAGCAGGACAAGGGAAGAAAUUCCAGAAAAAUAGAAAUCAAGCACAAAGAGAUACUGCACCUGGACAUAAAUCUAACAAUUCAGGACAGAAAUUCAGCAAACCACAACAGAAGUUUAAAGGAAAGAAGAGAUACAAUCCAAAUUUAUCAUGUACCUAUUGUGGAAAGACAGGACACACAAAGGAAUACUGUUACAAAAUUAUUGGCUUUCUAGAUAAUUUUGAGUUUACUAAUCAAAAGAACUAUCAAAAUCAGAUCAAAAGGAAUGAAGUACUGGCACAUGAGGAUCAUGAAACUCAGGGGGGACUGCAGAAAUGAUGACUAUGUACAAACAGGAAAAGCUCACACAGGAAGGCAAUUUAGGAAUUAAUGCCAAUGCAAUUGCUGGUACUAUUCUAAAAUACUCAGGUUCAGUGUUUACAACUCUAAAUUCAGACACUUGAAUCAUAGAUUCAGGUGCCUCAGAAUAUAUGUGUUUUGAUCCUAAUUCUUUUUUGUUCCUUACUCAACUUCCUGUACCUCUAAACAUCAAUUUACCUAAUUCUUUCAAGAUAAUUGUUACUCAUAUAGGAAGUGUGUCCAUUCUACCAGAUCAUGUUCUAAACAAUGUCCUUCAUUUUCCAGAUUUGAAAUACAACUUACCGUCAGUUCAUAGGUUCUGCACUCAGUUCAAAUAUGAUGUUUUACUCACAUCUACUAGGUGUAUGUUGCAGAACUUUUCAAUGGAGAGUCCUCAGGUUUUUGGUGAAGUUAGAGAGGGACUUUACAUUUUGGAUCCUAGUAGUCUUAUGUCCAAGGUACUGUUCAGUAACAAUAUAUUUUCAAUUCAAAAAGAAAGCAAUUUCAUUUCAGAGUCUAAGUCUUUCUCCAGUCCUGUUUUUGUUAAUGCUAUUUCUGAUGUAAUGCUUUGGCAUGUACAGUUGGGACAUCUUCCCUUUUCAACUAUGAAAUAUUUAGAUUUACUUCAUUGUGACUCUAACUCUAAUUUUAUCUGUAAUAUUUGUCCUAAGGCUAGGAAAACAAGAAAUCCUGUCCCAAUCAACACUAUUAAGUCAAAUCACAUUUUUGAUCUUAUACAUAUAGACACAUGGGGCCCUUACAAGUCCAAUACCUAUAAUGGUAUUAGAUAUUUUCAUAUAAUAGUGGAUGAUUAUAGUAGAUGAACCUGGACAUUAUUGUUAUAUUCUAAAAGCAAUAUUUUCCUUAUGCUCAAAUCUUUCUUGUCUAUGGUUAGAGACAUUUUAAUAUGAAUGUAAGGAUGGGAAGGUCUAACAAUGCACUAGAAUUGGGGAAAGGGACACAUGAAGCAGCCUUUUUGGCUUUUAGAAGGAAUUUUGCAUCAACUAUCUUGUGUGGCAACACCUCAACAUAAUGGAAUUGUUGAAAGGAAGCAUAGACAUCUCUUGGAAAUUGCUAGAGGCCUAAUGUUUCAGUCUAGACUACCUAUGUUCUAUUGGGUAGAAUCUAUUCUUACUGCUGCACAUAUCCUAAAUAGGUUACCUUCAAGAGUACUUCAAGGAAAGACACCAUAUGCAGUUCUAUUUCAACAUAACCCAAGUAUGAUUAUUUCAGGAUUUCUGGAUGCAUAUGUUAUGCUUCUACACAGGCACAAGGAAGGGGGAAGUUUUUUGAGAGGGCAACAACUUAUGUUAUGCUUGGUUAUCCUCUCCAACAAAAGGGAUACAAAUUACUGGAAUUGCCCACCAGAAAUGUUUUUGUGUCAAGAUAUGUUAGACUUCAUGAAUCCCAUUUUCCUUUCACAGAAAUCAAUACAACACACCAUCCUAUUUUCCCAACAUCAACCUUCAACUCUGAACCUACUUUUUCUUUCACUUCACCAAAUCAAACACAACCAGAGUCCAUAAGCCAUGAAAUACUAAAUGAUUUUUCACCACAACCAUCAACACCUUCCUCCCAUUCACCUAUUCAUCACUCACCCUUACCUAGCCCAGCUUCGAUUUCCAGUGGGAUAGAGUCAUCAUAUACUCAUAUACCUGAAGCUAAACCUCAACACCCUAUUCCCUUGAGGAGAUCAGGAAGGAUCUCCACUCAACCUUCCUAUUUAAAAGACUUUUUGUGUAGUAGCAUCAUGUUAUCAGAUAUAGUUAUAGCCUAUUUCACUCACCCCUGUCAGGCAAGAGAAUGCAGUUUUUCAUCCCUAUCACCCACUAACCAACAGGUCAUGCAAUCCAUCUCUACUCUAAGAGAACCUUGAACUUCUACUCAAGCCUGUCAGAAUCCAGGAUGGGUAGAAGCCAUGAGUGCAGAAAUUAGAGCUUUAGAGGACAAUCACACCUGGGAUGUGGUUGAAUUACCUAAAGGAAAAAGGGCUUUACCUUGUAAAUGGUUAUACAAGGUGAAGCACUUAUCAUAUGGGAGAGUUGAAAGAUUGAAGGCAAGAUUGGUAGUUAGGAGGGAUGUUCAAAGAGAAGGGAUAGAUUAUGGUGAGACCUUCUCACCAGUGGUCAAUAUGACAACCAUAAGGUGUCUUCUCACCGUUGCAACUAAGAAAUAUUGGAUUGUUUCUCAAUUGGAUGUAAAUAAUGCAUUCCUGCAUGGAGACCUUCAAUAAGAGGUCUACAUGAAGUUCUCUGCAGGUUUGGAUCCUCCUAGUCCCAAACAUGUCUGUCUUUUGAGAAAUAUGGCCUAAUGAAAGCAUCUAGGCAGUGGUAUACUACACUUGGUGGAGCUCUAAGUAUUAAGGGAUAUUCAUCUUCCUUAAAGACUAUUCUUUGUUCUUUAGGCAUACUGUAAUCUUAUUUCUAUCCUAGCAGUCUAUGUUGAUGACAUACUGAUUACAUGGUAUGAUUUAGAUGAAAUUCAAGGGAUCAAAUAUUUUUUGAAUACUAAAUUCAAGGUCAAACAUCUGGGAAACAUUCAUUAUUUUCUAGGCAUGGAAGGUUUGAGAGAAAAAGGAUAUUUAUGGUGAGUCAAAGAAAGUUUAUCUUAGAUAUGCUGCAGGAAUUCGAUGUCUCACAUUUGCCUCGAGUAAGCUCCUCUUUGGAUCCCUCUGUCAAAAUCCAAGAUAAUGAUCAAUACCUACAAACCCCAUUGUAUAUCAUCAUUUGGUUGGAAAGUUAAAUUUUUUAACCAAUACACGGCUAGAUCUCGGUUUUGCUAUUCUUACCCUUAGUCAAUUUAUACAAAAACCAUGCCUUUCCCAUUUUUCUGCCGCUCUUCGAGUGCUCAAAUACCUCAGUUUUGAUCUAGGUCAAGGGAUCUUACUCUCCGGUGAACCAUCUUUCUCUUUACUUGCUUUCUGUGAUACAGAUUGGGCUACCUGCAAAGAUUCACAGAGAUCUAUUAGUGGUUUCGUUAUCACCUUAAGAGGUGCACCUAUUUCCUGAAAAUCGAAGAAGCAGGCCUCAAUUUCUUUAUCUUCCGCAGAGGCGGAAUGCAGAUCUAUGAGAAGAGUGACUGCAGAGCUUACCUGGUUGGUUCGACUUCUUGACGAUCUCUCUGCCCCAGUCACUCUUCCCAUUCCCCUCCAUUCUGACAUCAAAGUAGCUAUUCGUAUCUCCCGGAACCUAGUUUUCCAUGAACGAACAAAAUAUGUAGAAAUUAACUGUCACUUUGUGCAACAGCAAUUCCUUUCAGAUUUGAUUACUCUCUCAUUUGUUUCCUCCAAGGCCCAACUCGCAGACAUAUUUACAAAACCUCUUUCUGGGGGUUUCUCAUCGAGAUAUUUUAAGCAAGUUGGGGGUAACUAUGUUCCUCUCCACCUUAAGGGAAUAUAUUGAGAAGAAAGAACUCCUGCUCCUAUUUUCAUGAAGAUAGAG
rnacentral:lncRNA from 1 species